AUUGAACGCUGGCGGCAUGCCUUACACAUGCAAGUCGAACGGUAACGCGGGGCAACCUGGCGACGAGUGGCGAACGGGAGAGUAAUGCAUCGGAACGUGCCCAGUAGUGGGGGAUAGCCCGGCGAAAGCCGGAUUAAUACCGCAUACGACCUAAGGGUGAAAGCGGGGGAUCGCAAGACCUCGCGCUAUUGGAGCGGCCGAUGUCAGAUUAGGUUGUUGGUGGGGUAAAAGCCUACCAAGCCGACGAUCUGUAGCUGGUCUGAGAGGACGACCAGCCACACUGGGACUGAGACACGGCCCAGACUCCUACGGGAGGCAGCAGUGGGGAAUUUUGGACAAUGGGGGCAACCCUGAUCCAGCCAUGCCGCGUGCGGGAAGAAGGCCUUCGGGUUGUAAACCGCUUUUGUCAGGGAAGAAACGCUCUGGGCUAAUACCUCGGGGGGAUGACGGUACCUGAAGAAUAAGCACCGGCUAACUACGUGCCAGCCGCCGCGGUAAGAC
rnacentral:rRNA from 1 species